rnacentral:rRNA from 1 species
GAGUUUGAUCCUGGCUCAGAUUGAACGCUGGCGGCAGGCCUAACACAUGCAAGUCGAGCGGAUGAAGGGAGCUUGCUCUCUGAUUCAGCGGCGGACGGGUGAGUAAUGCCUAGUAAUCUGCCUGGUAGUGGGGGACAACGUUCCGAAAGGAGCGCUAAUACCGCAUACGUCCUACGGGAGAAAGUGGGGGAUCUUCGGACCUCACGCUAUCAGAUGAGCCUAGGUCGGAUUAGCUAGUAGGUGGGGUAAUGGCUCACCUAGGCGACGAUCCGUAACUGGUCUGAGAGGAUGAUCAGUCACACUGGAACUGAGACACGGUCCAGACUCCUACGGGAGGCAGCAGUGGGGAAUAUUGGACAAUGGGCGAAAGCCUGAUCCAGCCAUGCCGCGUGUGUGAAGAAGG